UUUGUGGUCCUCGUCUGUUUGGAAGAUCAGCUCUUUCAGACGGCGUUCAUUCUUGUGCAGAGUUUUCACCGUCUCCACGUGACGCUUCUGUUCGGAAUCUAGCUCCGUUUCCAGUUCCUUAAUCUGAAAAGGAGGUGCAUGCAGUGAUCCUGCUCCUGACGCAGCUCUUCUGCCAUGCGGGAAGCCUAAGAGCAGGCGCAGUACAUUCUCAUCAAGCACGACAGCAUUUUAAUGCCAGCAGCGGAGCAAACAGUACAACGACCCUGUAUCAAGAGUGUGGUAUUUGUUUUCACCUGGACAUUGAUUUCGUUGUGCCUCUCAGUGAUCUCUAUCAGCUCCUGCUCCAGGAGUUUGCG